UUUAACUGAGCGUUCAGUUACUUGACGUAGACCCGAAACCGGGCGACCUACCCAUGAGCAGGAUGAAGCGAAAGUAAAAUUUCGUGGAGGUCCGAACCCACGAGCGUUGAAAAGCUCGGGGAUGACUUGUGGGUAGCGGUGAAAUUCCAAUCGAGCCCGGAGAUAGCUGGUUCUCCCCGAAAUAGCUUUAGGGCUAGCCUCAAGGUGAGAGAUACGGAGGUAGAGCACUGAAUGUCCUAGGGGGUAUUGCACCUACCGAAGACUAUCAAACUCCGAAUGCCGUCAUCUUAUACUUGGGAGUCAGACUGUGGGUGAUAAGAUUCAUAGUCGAAAGGGCAACAGCCCAGAUCGUCAGCUAAGGUCCCUAAAUGUAAGUUAAGUGGUAAAGGAUGUGGGAUUGCACAGACAACCAGGAUGUUGGCUUAGAAGCAGCCACUCAUUCAAAGAGUGCGUAAUAGCUCACUGGUCGAGUGAUCCUGCGCCGAAGAUUUCCGGGGCUAAAACUUACUACCGAAGCUACGGCAUCAGUAAUGAUGGGUAGGGGAGCUUCCCAUACGGGUUGAAGCAUGACCGUAAGGACAUGUGGACAGUAUGGGAGUGAGAAUGUUGGCAUGAGUAGCGAGAUGUGGGUGAGAAUCCCACAGGCCGUAAACCCAAGGUUUCCAGGGGAAGGUUCGUCCGCCCUGGGUUAGUCGGGACCUAAGCUGAGGCCGAAAGGCGUAGGUGAUGGACAACAGGUUGAUAUUC
rnacentral:rRNA from 1 species